GCCCCUGUGACGGAACGGCAGACGUAGCCGACUUAAAAUCGGUUUUUUGCGAGUUUCUCCUAACGGAGACGCUGCGCGAACGACUCUCGUCAGGGGGA
rnacentral:tRNA from 1 species